UUAGAGUUUGAUCCUGGCUCAGGAUGAUUGCUAGCGGCAGGCUUAACACAUGCAAGUCGAGGGGCAGCAUGAGGAGUAGCAAUACACCUUGAUGGCGACCGGCGCAAGGGUGCGUAACGCGUGAGCAACAUGCCCGUAUCUGGGAGAUAACCGGUGGAAACGCCGCCUAAUAUCCCAUAACAACAGAUUAGACAUCUUUUUUGUUUGAAAGAUUCGUCGGAUACGGAUUGGCUCGCGUGAUAUUAGUUAGUUGGCGGGGUAACGGCCCACCAAGACGACGAUAUCUAGGGGUUCUGAGAGGAAGGUCCCCCACAUUGGAACUGAGACACGGUCCAAACUCCUACGGGAGGCAGCAGUGAGGAAUAUUGGUCAAUGGACGGAAGUCUGAACCAGCCAUGCCGCGUGCAGGAUUAAGGCCCUAUGGGUCGUAAACUGCUUUUGUAUGAGAGCAAUAAGGUCCACGUGUGGAUCGAUGAGAGUAUCAUACGAAUAAGCAUCGGCUAACUCCGUGCCAGCAGCCGCGGUAAUACGGAGGAUGCAAGCGUUAUCCGGAUUUAUUGGGUUUAAAGGGUGCGUAGGCGGCAUUGUAAGUCAGCGGUGAAAUGUCCACGCUUAACGUGGAAACUGCCAUUGAUACUGCAGUGCUAGAAUUCGGAUGCCGUGGGAGGAAUGUGUAGUGUAGCGGUGAAAUGCUUAGAUAUUACACAGAACACCGAUUGCGAAGGCAUCUCACGAAUCCGACAUUGACGCUGAGGCACGAAAGUGUGGGGAUCAAACAGGAUUAGAUACCCUGGUAGUCCACACUGUAAACGAUGAUAACUAACCGUUGGCGAUAUACAGUCAGUGGCUAAGCGAAAGCGAUAAGUUAUCCACCUGGGGAGUACGUUCGCAAGAAUGAAACUCAAAGGAAUUGACGGGGGCCCGCACAAGCGGAGGAACAUGUGGUUUAAUUCGAUGAUACGCGAGGAACCUUACCCGGGCUCGAACGGCUGGUGAAGAGAUCUAGAGAUAGUGACGUCCGCAAGGACACUUGUCGAGGUGCUGCAUGGUUGUCGUCAGCUCGUGCCGUGAGGUGUCGGCUUAAGUGCCAUAACGAGCGCAACCCUUGUCGUCAGUUGCCAUCAGGUAAUGCUGGGGACUCUGGCGAGACUGCCACCGCAAGGUGUGAGGAAGGGGGGGAUGACGUCAAAUCAGCACGGCCCUUACGUCCGGGGCGACACACGUGUUACAAUGGUGGGUACAGAAGGCCGCUACCUGGUGACAGGAUGCCAAUCUUCAAAACCCAUCUCAGUUCGGACUGGAGUCUGCAACUCGACUCCACGAAGCUGGAUUCGCUAGUAAUCGCGCAUCAGCCAUGGCGCGGUGAAUACGUUCCCGGGCCUUGUACACACCACCCGUCAAG
rnacentral:rRNA from 1 species